UAUUUAAUUUAGGAGUUCAUAUCAUACAACACUGGCUUUAAGAUUUGUCUGUCCUUGGGCCGGGGAUUUAGCUCAGUGGUUUCGCCGCCUGCUGCGCAAGCGCAAGGACCUGAGUUGGAUCCCCGGUACAAAAAAGAAAAAAAAAAGAUUUGUCUAUCCUACAGCACUAAGGAGAGCAGCCUGAAUUGAGCAAGAAGGAAGCUGUGGGUUUGUUUGUGACAGGGCUUUCCUGACCACCUCAAGAGGAACAGUAACAGCAACCUGUAUUGGGUUGAAUGAUGGCACUCCAAAAGGAUUGUACCAAGAGGUUAGGAAGGAGAUCUCAUCUGCAGAGGAAGAGGAGAAAAAUACAGAGAAAACUGUGAGAAACUGCAAAAUUUUGUAGAAAAGCACCACCCAAAUAAGGCUGUAG
rnacentral:lncRNA from 1 species